GGGCCUGCUGGUGCGGCGGUUCGGUUCGGCAUCGGUGGCGGCGGUGGGCAUGGCGCUGACCGGGGUCGGCGUGAUCGCGGCGGGUCUGGCCCC
rnacentral:tRNA from 1 species